GGCUGACUCAGUGGAGAAGAACCUGCCUUCCAAUGAAGGAGAUACCAGUUUGAUCUGGGUAGGGAAGAUCCUUCGGAGAAGGAAAUGGCAACCCACUCCAAUCUUCCUGCCUGGACAAUCCCAUGGACGGAGGGGCCUGGCAGGCUACAGACCAUGGGGGUUGAAAAAGAACUGGAUUUGACGGAAGCGUCUUCUCACAGCGCAGUGACUAAGGUCAUCAGCACGCCUCUCCCAUCACUCCUUCCAUCUUAGCGGCUAAACAACAACAAACCAUUUUUUGAGUCUCGCCUGUAUAUGAGUGUAACUGUGCUUGGCAGACCUUUCCCUUUUACAGUCCCCUGAGUAUGCUCCCAGUUCCUUUCUAGAGGUGAAAAGUAUCAGAAUUGAUGAUAGAAUCACACAGACCGUCUUCUGAUUGCUUUGGAGAAUCCAAAAGAGGGUAUGCAAGCACUGCUCAGCAUCCCACAGGAUGUGAUGGCUAGAAUUAUGCCAUUUCUGUCUUCUCGUGACCAAAUAUGCUCCUGACUCCAUAUGCCCCAUUUAUCUAUUUUUUUUUUUUUUAAAUUUGUGUCCUGUGGACUUCACUUUAAGGCAGAUUUUGUAACACAGAUGUUUUCGGAGGACAGGGAUAUAAGAUUAAUAGUGGAAAUUAGGGCAGAGUAAAACCAUGAGGAAUGGUGGAAAAUGUGGAACUGACAAUUUGUAUUUUAUCACCCUAAAGGCAUUCAGAUUCAAUGUAAAAACCAAACAGCAAAUACCUUACUAACCAGACAAAUCCACCAACCAGAUACAACUUACCUUCAAUCAACCACUGUUAGUCAGUCCAUUUCUAUUAUAUGUCUUCUUUCCCCCUUUUCCCAUAGCUGAACCAUUUCUUCCAACUCCAAUAGUGAAAUCAGGCUAUUUAAGCAGAAUAAUGGCAUCCCAAGGAUGUGCAUACCAUAAUCCCUCAGAAACUGCGAAUAUAUUAUUUACUUUGCUGAUGAAAUAAGGUUGGGAGCCUUAAAUACAUUAUGCUGAAUUACAAAGAUGGACUCAAGUCUAAUCCUAAAAGUUUUAGGAGCAGAGAAAUAUGUCUAGCUGGAAGAAGCAGAAGUCAGAGAUACUCAAAGCUAGGCAAAACUCGACAGCCGAUUGCUGGUGUGAAGAUGGAAGGAGUGAGCCACAAGGACCUGGGUUCUGCCAGAGCCCGAAUGAGCUCAGUGCUACUCUUCCCUGGAGCCUCCAGAAAGGAAAGCAAGCUUGCAGGCACCUUGAUUUCCUCCCUGUGAGAUGCUAAGAUAAAUUUUGCCACUAACUUGGAGAAGUGAUGACACAUAGUGAAGCUAUAUCAGCAUUAAUUCAUGGAAUGGAAGUGAUAGCUCAAGUGUUUGAAAGCACAUGUAACAUCUUUGUAAAGAUGUUUACAAAGCAUAGAUGCAUUUUCUUGGUGCACAGUAUUAGUUUUUCUUUGGUGUGGGUCUAUGGCAAUGGUUUUUCUUAGGGUUUGUUCUUAAAAAUGUUUUUAUUUCACAUUUAUUUUUAAAUUAUGUGUGUUUGUGUAGAUGUAUUUUGGGAAGGGUGAAUCAUGGAAACUUCACAAUUGAGUAUAAAAGAAAGAAUAGGGAGCAGUUUGGUAAAGCAAGUGAAGAGACAAAGAGGAAAAAGUAUUUCUUGUGGGUGGCAUGUGCCAAGAUAAGAAAGAAAAGAAUGUUGCAUUUGAAGAGUUAUAUCAUUUAAUAGCUUUUUCUAAGACAGAGAUGAGGGACUGAGAUGGACAUGAACAAAGGCAAGAGUUUAUCUAGGAUCAGGUUGUGAAAGAUCUUGUAUCCAAUGCUUGAGAGUUUAGCAGGAGAUUCGAGAUCCAGGUAGAGUAGUUGAAUGGUUAUCGCAGAACAGUGACAUGAUAAGAAGUGACUUUUAAAAAGAUAAGUGUUACUAGAGGGCAGGGGCUAUAUUAGAAGCAAGCAAAACAAGAAUUAAGAAAAAAAGCUGUUGAAAUAAUUCUGGUGAAGGAAGAUAGAGAUGGUAAAGAGAUAAAUGGAAACUUUUAAUGCACAUAUUAAAAUUGGAGGAUUGAUAUGAAUUCAUUUUCCUUCAGGCGUGGUGGGUGUUGGAAUUGAGAGUGAAAUUAAGAACAACUUCCAGAAUUUAGGAAUAGGGAAGACUACAUGAACAGUCAUGGCAUUGGAUAAGAUACAGAAGAUAGGAGAAAGAGCAGCCUGCUUGGCAGCAAUAUGACAGGUCCAUUUCUAAUUUUCUUGAUAUGAGGGGCCCAGCUGGAAUUAUCCAAAAUACAGUGUGAUUAAAAGGUCAUCAGAGAAAUCAGGACUGGAAACAUGAUUUUUGAAAUAGUAACUACAAUUGAGACUUCCCAGGUGCUGCUGGUGGUAAAGAACCCUCCUGAUAAAGGAGGAGACAUAAGAGAUGGGGCUUCCAUCCCUGUGUCGGGAAGAUCCCCUGGAUCAGGGCAUGGCAACCUACUCCACGAUUCUUGCUGGGAGAAUCCCGUGGACAGAGGAGCCUGGCGGGCUACAGUCUAUGGGGUCUCAAGUGUUGGACAUGAUUUAGCCACUAAAUCACCACCAAUGAAGAAUGGAGGAGACUCAUUAACAAAGAAAGAAUCACAGAGGAGAGCUGAGAAAUACGUUUCCUUGAACACCAACAUUUAAAGUACUGAGAAAGGAGGAGGAAGAAACCUCAGAAGAUGUCUUGAAGGAGUAGUUAGAGGGAUAAGAGGACAUUCAGAGAAGAAUGGUGACUAAGAACUCAGGAGAGUUUCGAAGAGAAGUUAGUGGUCAAGAGCAUAAAAUGUUUCAGAGAAACUGAAUUCAGUGAGAACUGUCAGAUACUUCUUAAAUAUGUAGCACCUAGAAAUUCUGGGAGAACAAUUUUCAUGGCUGACAGAUUCAAACAUAGUGGGUUGAAUGGGAGGUAAGAAAGUGCCCUCCAGGUGUUAACAAUGCAAGAGCAGAGAGACAGAGGAUGUGGGAUGUGCUCCUCUAAAGCAUGUGGGAGUCAAUGAGAAGAUAAAAAUUGAGCUGA
ensembl:lncRNA